rnacentral:lncRNA from 1 species
CUCCUGCUCCACCCAGAUUCUUCCACCAGGGCCCGGGUGUGUGUGCACUUCUACCUUAGGAGUCCGGGAGUGGGGAAGCUGCAAACCCUCCCGCUAGGGUGGCAUUUACAGCUCUCGAGGGAAGGUUUUGCAAGAACUGGAGUGAAGGCUGCAGGUGGAUGGGGCUGCAGUCGGGUGGUCUCAGGCCCGCAAAGACCCCUGCCCCGGAGCCCUUUGCGCUCUGUGCACACUGAGGGAGCUUUACAGGGCACUUGGUGGCAAGGGCUGUGUGGGCCCUAGUGGCCCAGGGUGCACCUUCUGGUCCUUUGGGGGACGCAGGUGGCUCUCUGCAGGAGCCGGGAGGAGGAGAGGCCUUGCUGGAGGAGCUGAGGGGUGCUGGCAGUGGUGAAGGUAUUCCAGCGACUUCCCGCAGGCCCAGCCUCCCUACAUGACGGGCCCAAGAAUGCAGCCAGAGAGCCCUGGCCCAGGUCUGCAGAGAGGCUCUGGCCGCCCUGGCAGCUGUUCAAGUGUCGAUCCAUUUCAAAGGCCUAUUGUUAAACUUCUAACGGCCAAAAGGACAGCCCCAAGCCACGCACAGGGAAGUCCUCCAACUGCAGUGACCUGGAAGGCUAGCAAGCUCCCCUCCAAGCCGGGCAGGAGCUGGGAGCUGGGCAAUCAGUGCAAUAAAUCAGAGGAAGGAUCCGAAGCGGCCGUAGUGACCAGGAGGAGACCCCUUCUGGCCUCUGGGAUUCAUGGCCACAUGCAGUUCCCUGAAUCCCAUUCGGAACGCAUGUCUACGCAGGAAAGAUGAAAACACAGAGGGGGAGAGCAGGCUCCUGCAGCCCCCGACCCUGGCCGCGAGGAGUAACGAGAAGCAGCCCUUGCCCGGUUUCCAAUGUGACAUUUCUAGCAUCUGCCUCUCCACCGUGCAGCCCACACCUCUCUUUCUGCCCAACACACAGGCACACCGAGGAUUUGAAAAGCUCACAUUUUGCCCUGGUUACAACUCCCCCUCUCCUCAUUAAAAAAAAGAAAAAAAAGAAAAGAAAAAGAAAAAGAAAAAGAAAAAAAAAAAAAAAUAAAAAAAAAAAAACCCGCUUUAUUGUGCGCAACAUCUGGAAAGCUCCCUUCUCCAUCUGCUAGGCCCUGACAGUGUUUUCAGCCGCAGAGCCAACCUCUCCCCCUGCAGCCUGUGUCCUGGAGCUGGGGGUUGGGGGGAGGCCAGGCGGUGGAGGAGGCCCUGGCAGGGAGGAGGUGGGUCAGGGGAGCAGGCCUGCCCUUGGCCUGCGAGGUGCAGGGGCUCUCGGAACCCAGAGCUGGCCCCCGGGCCUGGGUUCUGGGGCCUGGGCUUCGUGGUGCUCCGGGUUCAAGGGAGGCAGCUGGUGGCUCCUCCAGCCUGUAGGGACAGGAAGCCAUGGCUGCAGGUUCUCGUGUUCCUGGGAAUGCUUGGUCAGGCCCUCCCGCCAGAGCUGGGAAGGACAGUCAGCUUCUAGACCCCAGUGCAUAUGCUUCUGAUGAGGUUUGAAACGAGCCUGUCUUGGGUUUGGUUUCAAAAUACCCCUGCCUUGGGUUUUUUUUGUUUGUUUGUUUCUUCUAUCUUAUUUAUACACACGCUUCAGCUAGCAUUCUGGGGGGAAAAAAGCAGAGGUUUCGAAAAGUAAAGUGGUUUAUGUGCAAAGAUCAAAAUGUUUCUCAUACUUUCUCCCAAGGCCUGGGGCUCUCCUCUCCCAGCG